rnacentral:rRNA from 1 species
UCCAGACUCCUACGGGAGGCAGCAGUGAGGAAUAUUGGUCAAUGGGCGAGAGCCUGAACCAGCCAAGUCGCGUGAGGGAAGACGGUCCUAUGGAUUGUAAACCUCUUUUGCCGGGGAGCAAAAAGCGGUACGUGUACCGCAUCGAGAGUACCCGGAGAAAAAGCAUCGGCUAACUCCGUGCCUGCAGCCGCGGUAAUACGGAGGAUGCGAGCGUUAUCCGGAUUUAUUGGGUUUAAAGGGUGCGCAGGCGGCGAGUUAAGUCAGGGGAAAAAUUUGGGGGCACAACCCCGACAAGCCGUUGAAACUGGCAGUCUCGAGUUGGAGAGAAGUAUGCGGAAUGCGCGGUGUAGCGGUGAAAUGCAUAGAUAUCGCGCAGAACUCCGAUUGCGAAGGCAGCAUGCCGGCUCCACACUGACGCUGAGGCACGAAAGCGUGGGUAUCGAACAGGAUUAGAUACCCCGGUAC